rnacentral:tRNA from 1 species
UGGGGUGUGUCCAAGCGAUAAGGCAGCAGGUUUUGAUUCUGUUAUUCGGAGGAUUGAUUCCUUCUGUCCCAG